GGCUUGGGGCGGCAGGCCUACACAUGCAAGUCGAGCGGAUGACGGGAGCUUGCUCCUUGAUUCAGCGGCGGACGGGUGAGUAAUGCCUAGGAAUCUGCCUGGUAGUGGGGGACAACGUUUCGAAAGGAACGCUAAUACCGCAUACGUCCUACGGGAGAAAGCAGGGGACCUUCGGGCCUUGCGCUAUCAGAUGAGCCUAGGUCGGAUUAGCUUGUUGGUGAGGUAAUGGCUCACCAAGGCGACGAUCCGUAACUGGUCUGAGAGG
rnacentral:rRNA from 1 species